rnacentral:misc_RNA from 1 species
UACAAAAUACGAACUUGUGGACUAAUUUAGCUAGAUAAAAAUUUGUGUUGUGUGUAAAGCUUCGUUUUUAUGUUUAAUUACGUAAAACAUUUAAGAUGGCUUUUAUUUAAAACUAAUGUAUACGCAUUCGUUUUAUUUUUAAAUGAUUCAUCCAAUAAAGAAAUUGAUAUAAUAUCGUGGUACCGGAUGUAAAUAGCCUGAGUCAUUGUUAAAAAGUACUAAGUAUUGUAAAUUAUUACAAACGAUAGUUAAACAUUGUGAAGGGUCUGCCCGACAUGGCCAACGUUUUGUGUUUAAAUAAGUGGCACAGCAG